rnacentral:rRNA from 1 species
GACGAACGCUGGCGGCGUGCUUAACACAUGCAAGUCGAACGGUAAGGCCCUUCGGGGUACACGAGUGGCGAACGGGUGAGUAACACGUGGGUGAUCUGCCCUGCACUUCGGGAUAAGCCUGGGAAACUGGGUCUAAUACCGGAUAGGACCCUGGGAUGCAUGUCCUGGGGUGGAAAGCUUUUGCGGGGUGGGAUGAGCCCGCGGCCUAUCAGCUUGUUGGUGGGGUGAUGGCCGACCAAGGCGACGACGGGUAGCCGGCCUGAGAGGGUGACCCGCAAGCCUGGGACGGGGAUAGGGCCCAGACGCCUACGGGGGGCAGCAGUGGGGAAUGUGGCACAAUGGGCGCAAGCCUGAUGCAGCGACGCCGCGUGAGGGAUGACGGGCUUCGGGUUGUAAACCUCUUUCAGCACCGACGAAGCGCAAGUGACGGUAGGUGCAGAAGAAGGACCGGCCAACUACGUGCCAGCCGCCGCCGUAA